CCUGGUGUCAAUGGUGCGGUGGAACCACACUGAUCCCAUCCCGAACUCAGAGGUGAAACGCUGUUGCGGCGACGAUAGUCGGAGGGUAGCCUCCCGCUAAAAUAGCUCGAUGCCAGGU
rnacentral:rRNA from 2 species